AGUGGAGCCUGCGGCUUAAUUUGACUCAACACGGGAAACCUCACCAGGCCCGGACACCGGAAGGAUUGACAGAUUGAGAGCUCUUUCUUGAUUCGGUGGGUGGUGGUGCAUGGCCGUUCUUAGUUGGUGGAGCGAUUUGUCUGGUUAAUUCCGAUAACGAACGAGACUCUAGCCUGCUAACUAGGCGUAUUUCGACAUCCCAAAGGCCCGCCGGUUCGGGAUUUCGGUCCCUUAUCGCGCGCGGUUUUUACUGUCGGCGUACAAACAAUUCUUCUUAGAGGGACAGGCGGCAUUUAGCCGCACGAGAUUGAGCAAUAACAGGUCUGUGAUGCCCUUAGAUGUUCUGGGCCG
rnacentral:rRNA from 1 species